rnacentral:lncRNA from 1 species
GUAGUCCCGAGUGAUAAGAUCUUCAAUCCGCUUUUUGAUUGCUUUGAAAUCAGGCUACACACAAGUUUUAUAAUUUUAGGAUAGGUACGAUAGAAAAAUUCAACAAUUAGAAUACACAAACAAACAUCUCUCUCGAAAUAGAGCCCAUAACUAUAUUUCAGGAUAGAACUAUUUGGGAGGCGGAGAAGACACUUGCAAAGAGAAUAUGAUAAGAUAUAAUAGAAAAAUUCAACAAUCAGGAUAAAACUAUUUGGGAGGCGGAGAAGACACUUGCAAAGAGAAUAUGAUAAGAUAUUGGCAAUCUUUUGUUACAAAUUUUACACCUCAAAGCACAGAAUUCUCAGCACUCCACAUAUCCUACUAUAUACCUUAUAGUUUUGAGGUGGUGAACAUACCCAGCACAAAAGAAAAUAUACACAUAUAUAACAAACUAGAGGUCACGGACAAAAUGAUAUUUUCACUAUUUCCUUCGCAGACAUCCUUCCCAGGCAACUUGAGGGUGUGGGGCGGGACGGGGGGAGGGAUUAUAUGCUUACUUUCCCUCAAAAAGGUCACUCCAUGUUGGACUGAAAUAACCCUCUUUUCAUUUAACAUUUUGAUGAAGAGAGUUCAAAAAAAAAAAGGAUAGCAGGUCACAGAGAAGGCAACAUCCUCCUGUUGCCCCCGUCAUAUUAGUUGGUAAGAAACGGAAAAUAACAGGGAAAAAAAAAGGUAAAGGAAAAAAUAAAUCUAAUAAAGAAACUGAAAGAUUUCAUUCUCGCAUCCUAUAUUAGAUGGCUAGUCGAGCAACAGGCUCAGUAUAAUGCAACCUUCAAAAGUCAACCAUGCACCAUAAAUGCAGAAGUAAGAGGGUACAAUCAUACGUAUCCUUCUUUCCCGAUUUUUUUUUUUUGAAGGAGCAGACAACAAGUGAUAACAGUUGGAGAUAUUCUACUAGCAAACAGAAAACUAAGAGGGUACAAUCAUACGAAUCCUUCUUUUCCCGAAUUUUUUUUUUUUGAAGGAGCAGACAACAAGUGAUAACAGUUGGAGAUAUUCUACUAGCAAACAUCCUAAUAAAGAAACUGAAAGAUUUCAUUCUCGCAUCCUAUAUUGAUGGCUAGUCGAGCAACAGGCUCAGUAUAAUGCAACCUUCAAAAGUCAACCAUGCACCAUAAAUGCAGAAGUAAGAGGGUACAAUCAUACGUAUCCUUCUUUCCCGAUUUUUUUUUUUUGAAGGAGCAGACAACAAGUGAUAACAGUUGGAGAUAUUCUACUAGCAAACAGAUCCCUUGUUAAAACAAAAUGAAAACAAAUUUUAAGCAACAUGCAAUUAGAUAGUAAGCAAGAAAAAAUGGAAUGUCC